AAAGUACUCCCUCCGUCCCAUCUUAGAUUUUUCUAGAUACAGAUGUAUCAAGUCACAUUUUUAGUAUUAGAUACAUCCGUAUCUAGACAAAUCUAAGACAAGAAAUUUGGGAUAGAGGGAGUAGUUU
rfam:Triticum aestivum genome assembly, contig: Triticum_aestivum_CS42_TGACv1_scaffold_163598_2DL